UACGUAGGGGGCAAGCGUUGUCCGGAUUUACUGGGCGUAAAGCGCGCGUAGGCGGACGUGUAAGUCUGGCCUGAAAGCCCCCGGCUCAACCGGGGAGGGUGGCUGGAAACUGUGCUUCUUGAGGACGAUAGAGGAGUGUGGAAUUCCUGGUGUAGCGGUGAAAUGCGUAGAUAUCGGGAGGAACACCUGUGGCGAAAGCGGCUCUCUGGACCACAACUGACGCUGAGGCGCGAAAGCUAGGGGAGCAAACAGG
rnacentral:rRNA from 1 species